rnacentral:tRNA from 2 species
GCCGGCGUAGCUCAGCUGGUCGGAGCGAUCGCCUCGUAAGCGAUAGGUCGGGGGUUCGAAUCCCUCCGCCGGCU